GCAGUAAGGAAUAUUGGACAAUGCCCGCAAGGGUGAUCCAGCCAUGCCGCGUGCAGGAAGACGGCCCUAUGGGUUGUAAACUGCUUUUACACCGGAGAAAACCCCCCUACGUGUAGGGGGCUGAUAGUAUGGUGAGAAUAAGCAUCGGCUAACUUCGUGCCAGCAGCCGCGGUAAGACGAAGGAUGCAAGCGUUAUCCGGAUUCAUUGGGUUUAAAGGGAGCGUAGGUGGCCUUAUAAGUCAGUGGUGAAAUCUUCGAGCUUAACUCGGAAAUUGCCAUUGAUACUGUAGGGCUUGAGUAUAGUUGCCGUUGGCGGAAUAUGACAUGUAGUGGUGAAAUACAUAGAGAUGUCAUAGAACACCGAUUGCGAAGGCAGCUGACGAAACUAUAACUGACACUGAGGCUCGAAAGUGUGGGGAUCAAACAGGAUUAGA
rnacentral:rRNA from 1 species